rnacentral:lncRNA from 1 species
GGGUCCUCGGCAUUUUUUGCGAGCAGUGCACCCAGAAUCCAAAAAGAUUUUUUUAAAAAAGAAAGAAAGAAACCACAGUGUUUUCGGUCACCCUCACAGGGCUAUGAAAUCGUUCUACUGGACAUCGGUUUUGGGAAUUCAUUUUUGAGGUCAAUUUCCAAUCGAGAUAAAUCUAUUGGAUUAGUAGGAUUAUCUGAUUGCAGCUGAAAGAAGUAACGUUGGUUUGAUCAUUUGUAUUUCUUGCCUGAUGGUCGGAUUUACAUGGAGGUGGCUUUGGGUGCCCAGGAUUCUGGAUCGUGGUUGCAUUUGGAAAGAAAAAAGGAUCAAUCGACACGUUUUGGAAGUGUCC